CUUGAAAAUAUUACUGACAACUCAUACUUUUGGAUCGGCCUCACAAAGGAUAAAAAUAAUAAGAAUGUGUGGCUAUGGGUGGAUGGAACACUCCAUAAUUUAUCAGAUGGAUUCUGGGCCAAUAAUCAGCCAAAUAAUUAUGGUGGAACAGAAGACUGUGCUCACGUGUGGAAAGAGAAAAAGUGGAAUGAUGAUGAUUGCACCAAUCAGUCUAAAGCAAUCUGUGAGAAAAAACUGACAUGUUGUGUUUAGCUUUGGAGCCAUAAAUCUAGGUUUAUGAGCAGCUUAUUAGUAUAUAAAUGUCCAGCAAAAAAAUAGAAAAACUAAAAUCUCCUGAAAACAAUGGUGGAGACCCUAUAUCCUUCCAAAUAAUGAGCAUUAUAGCUCCACCUCACUGCUACUAUUUGCUAUAAUAUCUGGGGUGGGGCUGAAGAGAUACUUAACGAUGAAUGACAUGGUACUGCGCUCCCUCUAGUCAUUAUAUCUGCUGAGAAGAAAAGGUCCUCAAAAUUUCAGCCUUCGGUCAACUGACAUGUGCCUUCCCCAAAGAAUCACUUGCCUACAGCAUUGGGAUCUGUAUCUGCUUUUCAAUAAAUUGCUGCAAUGAAA